UUAAGUUCAGCGGGUAGUCCUACCUGAUUUGAGGUCAAGAAGUUCAUUAAACAUUGUCCAUAACGGACGAUUAGCAGCUGAACUAGUCAGAGAGCAAUCCAUCACAGUGUAGAUAAUUAUCACACUAGUGACGGGACUGCAAACGGUUCCGCUAAUGUAUUUCAGGAGAGCUGACCUUUACAUCAGUAAAGACCCGCAAG
rnacentral:misc_RNA from 1 species